UACAGAGGGUGCGAGCGUUAAUCGGAGUUAUUGGGCGUAAAGGGCGCGUAGGCGGUUUGUCAAGUGAGAUGUGAAAUCCCUGGGCUUAACCUAGGAAUUGCAUUUUAGACUGAUAGGCUAGAGUACAGUAGAGGGUGGCGGAAUUUCCGGUGUAGCGGUGAAAUGCGUAGAGAUCGGAAGGAACAUCAGUGGCGAAGGCGGCCACCUGGACUGGUACUGACGCUGAGGCGCGAGAGCGUGGGGAGCAAACAGG
rnacentral:rRNA from 1 species